AGACCUCUGAUCAGAAAAGACUACCCGCUGAGUUUAAGCAUAUCACUAAGCGGAGGAGAAGAAACUAACCAGGAUUUCCCUAGUAACGGCGAGCGAACCGGAAAGAGCCCAGCUUGAAAAUCGCGGCGCUGCGCGCCGCGAGUUGUAGUCUGGAGAAGCGUCCUC
rnacentral:rRNA from 4 species